UUCCAGACUCCUACGGGAGGCAGCAGUGGGGAAUAUUGCACAAUGGGGGAAACCCUGAUGCAGCGACGCCGCGUGAGUGAAGAAGUAUCUCGGUAUGUAAAGCCCUAUCAGCAGGGAAGAAGAAAUGACGGUACCUGAGUAAGAAGCACCGGCUAAAUACGUGCCAGCAGCCGCGGUAAUACGUAUGGUGCAAGCGUUAUCCGGAUUUACUGGGUGUAAAGGGAGCGCAGGCGGCACGGCAAGCCUGAUGGGAAAGCCCGCGGCCCAACCGCGGGACUGCAUUGGGAACUACCGGGCUGGAGUGCCGGAGAGGUAGGCGGAAUUCCUAGUGUAGCGGUGAAAUGCGUAGAUAUUAGGAGGAACACCAGUGGCGAAGGCGGCCUACUGGACGGUGACUGACGCUGAGGCUCGAAAGCGUGGGGAGCAAACAGGAUUAGAUACCCCAGUAUGA
rnacentral:rRNA from 1 species